GAUGAACGCUGGCGGCGUGCCUAACACAUGCAAGUCGAACGGAGUUACUUUAGUGAAGUUUUCGGAUGGAUCUGAUUUAACUUAGUGGCGGACGGGUGAGUAAUGCGUGAGCAACCUGCCCUUCAGAGGGGGACAACAGUUGGAAACGACUGCUAAUACCGCAUAAUGUAUCCGGGAGGCAUCUCCUGGAUACCAAAGGAGAAAUCCGCUGAUGGAUGGGCUCACGUCUGAUUAGCUAGUUGGUGAGGUAACGGCUCACCAAGGCUGCGAUCAGUAGCCGGACUGAGAGGUGGAACGCCCACAUUGGGACUGAGAUACGGCCCAGACUCCUACGGGAGGCAGCAGUGGGGAAUAUUGGGCAAUGGGCGAAAGCCUGACCCAGCAACGCCGCGUGAAGGAAGAAGGCCUUCGGGUUGUAAACUUCUUUUAAGAGGGACGAAGAAGUGACGGUACCUCUUGAAUAAGCCACGGCUAACUACGUG
rnacentral:rRNA from 1 species